UACGGGGGGAGCAAGCGUUGUUCGGAUUUACUGGGCGUAAAGGGCGCGUAGGCGGCGCAACAAGUCACUUGUGAAAUCUCCGGGCUUAACCCGGAGCGGUCAAGUGAUACUGUCGUGCUAGAGUGCGGAAGGGGCAACUGGAAUUCUCGGCGUAGCGGUGAAAUGCGUAGAUAUCGAGAGGAACACCUGCGGCGAAGGCGGGUUGCUGGGCCGACACUGACGCUGAGGCGCGAAAGCCAGGGGAGCGAACGGG
rnacentral:rRNA from 1 species